rnacentral:lncRNA from 1 species
AAUAACGCCAACAUCAUCACGUCGGCUCGGCGACUCCUCACCAGAAUCUUACUCCCUACACCCUGCCACUGUCAUUCUGCUCCCAUGAACAAGGUUCGUGAUCAUCACAGGUAUCAAUCACACGAUACAAAAUUGCAAGAGUGAGUUUAUUAUAAAAGAACCAAUACCAAUUCUGAAUAACCACAAUUAGCAAGGAACAUAGGCAAACAUGAUAAGCAUACGCAACAAUCUUUAUUCAACACUCAUAUCCAACAAAUAUUCAUCAUUCACAUCCAACAAUUACUCAUCAUCCAUCCAUGGACCCAAUCAAGACUGCACAGAAUGACGCAUGCAACUGACUCAACACUCAGAUGCAAUGUGGUAUGUACCAACAACAACCAAAUAUCAUGAAAUAGCCUAAGCGUGUCCACACGACACUCUCACUUAGGGAACUGUGCUAAGUUUGUCGAGACCACCCGGUUGUGCACGUAACAGCCCCCCUCCCAUAGGUGAUCAGCCUGGGAGCCCAAAGGUGUUCCCUACCAGGUGACAAGCCCCCUAGUACAAAGUACACUUGGCCACAGUUACUCUAUUUCCUGUGUCGUAUGAGUUAUGAUCACGACCAAAAGUAAGUGCCAAAGACCAUGGACCAAUUAAAGCGCCUAAGCAUCUCCUCAGAAAUGCUUAGAUUCUCUAACCACGCUAGUUACCCACGUCUGGGCCAUCCGACAAGGUCAGUGCACUCUACCCCCCAUGACAUACACUCUAUACGACGUAUGAUCGUGGCCAAAAGCUAGUGCCAAAGACCCUGGAAGGUCAGUGCACAGUGCCCCCCACGAACAUACAUAACAUGCACAUGCCAAUGCAUUUCCAACAUCAAUCAACAUUCCAUUUCCAUGUCAUUCACAACAUAAAUAUCAUCUCAUCUUAAUGACGUUAUCAACAACAACAACAACCUCAUUUCAUAUUCACAUAUUCAUCAAUAAUAACAAUUCAUGUUGACAUGGUCUUUAUUAACAACUUUAUCUCAAAUCAAUAUCAUCAUAAUUAUCAUUAUCAUCACAUAUCAAUUAAAAUCCUCAAUAGCAACAUCAACAACAAUUCAAACAAACACAACAAUAUCAUUUCCACACGCACGGUCUUCAAACAACACAUUUCAAACAACCAAAACAAUAUCAUUCAUCACAAUACAUAUAUAUAUAUAUAUAUAUAUAUAUAUAUAUAUAUAUAUAUAUAUAUAUAUAUAUAUAUAUAUAUAUAUAUAUAUAUAUAUAUAUAUAUAUAUAUCGCAUCCCAUUAGUUAAAACGUAAUUUUAUUUGAAGAAAAAUCAGCAUGCAGCAGGGACAGGUAGAUAUCCUUAUAGCUAGGUUCCCUGACCCUAACUAUGGUGUUAAAAUGGUAAAUUUUAUAAUAAACUCCCCUUACCUAUCGUGAGCUACCCCGCGGAUUCCUCGUUGCGUCACUUGAAGAUUCCUUUCUGUCCUUGCUCGUCGAUUCCACACAAGCCUCUCGAAAGAAAAUGAAAGGUCAGAUUAAGGUUUCGUUCUCUACCGAACCGCAAGCCAAGUUGGAAGAUUCCGCUUUAGUUGAAGGGUUCCUCUCGGUGUGGGUUUUCAAUGGAGAACAGUGAUGGUUUGUGGUGGCUAAUGGUGGUUGUGGGUGAUGGAGAAAGUGCUUGGAACUUUAGAAAUGGCUUUGGAAGAAAGAAA